rnacentral:rRNA from 1 species
AGCAGCCGCGGUAAUUCCAGCUCCAAUAGCGUAUAUUAAAGUUGCUGCAGUUAAAAAGCUCGUAGUUGAAUUUCGGGACUAAUAUGUCGGUCGUGCCUCGGUACGUACUGGUUUAUUGGUUUCUCCUUUCUGAAGAACCAUGAUGUCAUUUAUUUGGUGUCGUGGGGAAUCAGGACUGUUACUUUGAAAAAAUUAGAGUGUUUAAAGCAGGCUCACGCUUGAAUACAUUAGCAUGGAAUAAUGAAAUAGGACGUUUGAUUCUAUUUUGUUGGUUUCUAGGAUCGACGUAAUGAUUAAUAGGGAUAGUUGGGGGCAUUAGUAUUCAAUUGUCAGAGGUGAAAUUCUUGGAUUUAUUGAAGACUAACUACUGCGAAAGCAUUUGCCAAGGAUGUUUUCAUUAAUCAAGAACGAGAGUUAGGGGAUCGAAGACGAUCAGAUACCGUCGUAGUCUUAACCAUAAACUAUGCCGACUAGGGAUCGGAUGAUGUUAAUUUUUAAUGACUCAUUCGGCGCCUUAACC